ensembl:lncRNA
CAAUCAUUUAUAGUCCAUGGACCCUGAAUAAAUCCCCUGUGUGAUCUGAAGAGCGUGUAAAUGAUGCAUGUGAUGUCCCCUAGCAGCUGAGUGACUGUCACCGGGGUGUUGUGAUGGACGGGAUGGAGACGCUGUACUGCCGCUCCCCCAGCAGCAUCCUAUAGAUCAUCAAGGCUUCAUCUACAUGGUCAACCUCUCAAUCAACUACUACGUCUUCAAAGCCAAGGAGAGGGCACAGAGAGAGGCAGAGGGUGAGGACAAACUAGUCCAAAGGAGACUGCGCCCCAUAUAAACCUCUCUGUUAUUGGGAGGGGACUAUCCUAGUGGAACAGAGACCCUGAAAAGCAACAUACUUGAAGAGUCUCUUGAAGAGGGUUUGGACUCAAAAGCCCUCCUAUCCCCUCCUCCACUAUGUCCUCUGUCAUACUCUACACUAAGAACAGGCCUGUGUCCAGUGCACAGCAGAUCACUAGUUCCUUCCCCUUCAUGGUGUCCUCAGCCCCAAAGGAAGCUUAAGGCUCGGUCAAGGAAGAGGCGUUGACCUCUACUGAAGGACGGGGGGAAGAAGGCAGACACGGGCAGAGAGAGUCAGAAAGACAAGAGACCCACCAUAGCCAAAAAGGGGUCCAGGAGCCAAUGACUCCCGCUCCCCUCCUCUAAAGGCUGUGACUCGCUUAUUUGACACUGAGCAGUGCCAACAGGAGUCCCAACAGGAGUCCCAACAGGAGUCCCAACAGGAGUCCCAACAGGAGUCCCAACAGGAGUCCCAACAGGAGUGCAAACUACAUAAGAAUACACAAGAAUAAACACUGAUGUGCAUGAAUGUGACUUAAAGGUUUGUGUUGUUUUCUAUAGGCUCACCACAUUCCACUGGAAUGUCCCGCCCUAUGGAGAGGCGACCCUGAAGAUCUGGUUCCACUCCCAAGUCCCUGUCAAGUUUGACAAAACACUGAAUUUUGAGUUGUUGGGUACCAAGAUAUGUUUCAAAAUGUACUGUGGGGGAAUCUAUACAUAUCUAUCCAUCAGCAGAAACACAAAGAUGGUAUUUGCCCACAGGAAGAGAGUCCUUUGCUGAAGCGUUGCAGAAGAGCUACAUCAUCCGCUCUGUCCUCUAUGAGUUUGGCCCACUGCUCUGUGGCAAGACCACAGAUAGGUAUAUAGAGGAAGUAUCCAGAGAACAUGGAAAGGUUGGUGAUACACAACAACACCCCACUGGAUGCUGAGAUUCACUUCUUCUUCCAGCAUGACACCAAGGCUGCCACCUACCAACUGGACCCUCCCAACAUGACCCUUAAACCCAACGAGAGACAAGAAGCCAAUCAGAACUACUCAUGACAUCAUAGAAUGUAGUCUGAGAUGUCGGAUUAGUCAGAACCCUGACUGUGUGACACAAACUUACCUAGAAGUUAUGACUGUUCACUGAUAUUAUCAGUGAACAUUCUCACGCCCAUUUACUUUUGUUCUCGUUUUGAAACUCCAAUGAUCCAUGGUUGUGCCCUGGCAGAUAGAAGACAGUGUGGUGUAUCAAAGAGAACCCAGAGCCAGCAUUUCUGUUGUGGGGUCCAUCCCGAGCUUGAAUGCAAGCAGCUGCAUUUUGAAAAUAAUUCAUUAACAUUACCCAGAACUGCUGUAUCGUUUUUAAACCUGCUUCAGUAACAAAGUAGGAGAUUUGUUUUUGUCAUGGUAGUUUUCUGUUGAUUUUCCUUUCGCCACUCUACUACAUUCUCCCUGUGCUGGUUGUGAACCUCAGGAAGAACACAAGGAGUCUGUACCUGCGUAACAACACGCUGCUGCCUGUAGCCUGGAGGCUAGAGGUGCUGGGGGAUGAGUUCAGUGUUUCCCAGGACCAGGGCAUCAUACUUAGGGAUCCUUGGGGUGUCCCUACCCAAACCCCUAACCCUAAACUUAACCCCUACCCUUAUUCAAACCAUAACCUUAACCAUAACCCUGACCUACCCCUAACCUUAAUUCUUACCUUAACCAUUUUAAAUUUCAACUUCAAAGGGGUAGAGAAGCCCCAAGGAUCCCGGAUAGCAUGGACCCUUGUCUCAAGCCAGAUUGCG